rnacentral:lncRNA from 1 species
CAGGAAGUCUGCUGAGGUUAUGGACGCCUCUGCUCUUUGGCUGACUGACACCUCUUGGGACAGUAAUCACUGUGCUUUGAGCACGGCUUUCCCAGGACGUGGCACAGUGAAGGUCCCUGGAGUGGGCUCAGGUCAGCUCACGCCCCUAAGUACUCGGGGGACCUGGAGAGCCUGGUGUGAAGGAAGCUUGGCUUAGCUCAGACCGUGGCACUGUGUCCCAUGUGAGGAGUGCCACACAUCAGGACCCAGGUCCCUGCUGGGAGGAGGAGCCAGUCACUCUUCACGGUCUCUUUCCUCUUAGCCAAGGUAAGUGACAGGACUCUGGGGGACUUUGGUCACCCUACAUGCAGCCCAUGCCUCCUGAAGUCCCGGCAGUGGCUCUCAGUACCUACUGUUCCACAGCUCAGGGACGUGCAUCACUGGAGCUCUGGGCUUGAGUGGCUGGCCAACAACAUGGAGGGGGGACAGAGGAGGAGGCCAAAGAACACUCCGUGGAGGGUGUGCAAGCUGGUGGGAGACAGGACAGGAGCACAGGAAUCCUGUUGGGAUGGGAAGGUUUGGGUGCAGCUCAGGCUGGGGGCAGAACUAGGGGAGCCCAUGCAGAAGUGGUGACAUGAGACCUGGAAAAUGAGUGGGGGCUUCUCAGGGUGAGAGAGGAGGGGUUGUGCCAGGCAGAGGAGGAGCAAAGCUGAUGCACAGAGUGGGCCCGGGAGUCUCCUGCAGCCACUGGAGCUACCGUGGGGAAGGGCAGCACAGAUAAGGCGGUGGGCAGCUGCAGCCACAUGGCGACCACUGGUGCUCUGCCCCCUGGACACCCCCGUCUAGCUAUUCCAAGUUGUCUCACAGAGAGCCUUUGAGUUACAAGGACACGCGCCCCCUGUCAGUAUUAUGGAAAUUCUUGGGGAUUAACCGCUGUCCUCAGAGUCAGUGGGAUGGUGCAGCCAUCUUACUGAUUGUCAGAGGGAGUUUGGACGAGAUGAAGUCAAGAAAAGUGUCUGCGUCUAGAGUCCUUAGAUGUUAGGUGUCCCCCCAAAGCUCAUGUGUGAGACAAUGCAAGGUUCAGGCUUGGGUUCUGAGAGCCUUAACCCAGUCGGUGAAUGAAUCCCUGAUGGGAUUAGCUGAG